rnacentral:rRNA from 1 species
UUGGUUAAGUUAGAAAGGGCGCACGGUGGAUGCCUUGGCACUAGGAGCCGAAGAAGGACGGGACUAACACCGAUAUGCUUUGGGGAGCUGUACGUAAGCGUUGAUCCAGAGAUUUCCGAAUGGGGGAACCCACUAUCUUUAGUCGGAUAGUAUCCUUACGUGAAUACAUAGCGUGAGGAAGGCAGACCCAGGGAACUGAAACAUCUAAGUACCUGGAGGAAGAGAAAGAAAAAUCGAUUUCCUGAGUAGCGGCGAGCGAAACGGAAAGAGCCCAAACCAAGAAGCUUGCUUCUUGGGGUUGUAGGACACUCUAUACGGAGUUACAAAAGAAAGUUAUAAAUGAAGCGGUCUGGAAAGGCCCGCCAAAGACGGUAACAGCCCGGUAGUUGAAAUGGCUUUCCCUCCAGAGUGGAUCCUGAGUACGGCGGAACACGUGAAAUUCCGUCGGAAUCCGGGAGGACCAUCUCCCAAGGCUAAAUACUCCCUAGUGACCGAUAGUGAACCAGUACCGUGAGGGAAAGGUGAAAAGCACCCCGGAAGGGGAGUGAAACAGUUCCUGAAACCGUGUGCCUACAAGUAGUUAGAGCCCGUUAAUGGGUGAUAGCGUGCCUUUUGUAGAAUGAACCGGCGAGUUACGAUUUGUUGCAAGGUUAAGCGGAAAAAGCGGAGCCGUAGCGAAAGCGAGUCUGAAUAGGGCGCAUAAGUAACAGGUCGUAGACCCGAAACCAGGUGAUCUACCCAUGUCCAGGAUGAAGGUAAGGUAAUACUUACUGGAGGUCCGAACCCACGCACGUUGAAAAGUGCGGGGAUGAGGUGUGGGUAGCGGAGAAAUUCCAAUCGAACUUGGAGAUAGCUGGUUCUCUCCGAAAUAGCUUUAGGGCUAGCCUCGAGGUAAAGAGUCAUGGAGGUAGAGCACUGUUUGGACUAGGGGCCCUUCUCGGGUUACCGAAUUCAGAUAAACUCCGAAUGCCAUGUACUUAUACUCGGGAGUCAGACUGCGAGUGAUAAGAUCCGUAGUCGAAAGGGAAACAGCCCAGACCACCAGUUAAGGUCCCCAAAUAUAUGUUAAGUGGAAAAGGAUGUGGGGUUGCUUAGACAACCAGGAUGUUGGCUUAGAAGCAGCCACCAUUGAAAGAGUGCGUAAUAGCUCACUGGUCGAGUGACCCCGCGCCGAAAAUGUACCGGGGCUAAACAUAUUACCGAAACUGUGGAUGAACCUCUUUAGAGGUUCGUGGUAGGAGAGCGUUCUAAGGGCGGUGAAGUCAGACCGGAAGGACUGGUGGAGCGCUUAGAAGUGAGAAUGCCGGUAUGAGUAGCGAAAGAAGGGUGAGAAUCCCUUCCACCGAAUAUCUAAGGUUUCCUGAGGAAGGCUCGUCCGCUCAGGGUUAGUCGGGACCUAAGCCGAGGCCGAUAGGCGUAGGCGAUGGACAACAGGUAGAGAUUCCUGUACCAGUGCUAAUUGUUUAACCGAUGGGGUGACACAGAAGGAUAGGGAAUCGCACGAAUGGAAAUGUGCGUCCAAGCAGUGAGUGUGAGAAGUAGGCAAAUCCGCUUCUCGCGAAGCAUGAGCUGUGAUGGGGAAGGAAAUUAAGUACGGAAGUUCCUGAUUUCACGCUGUCAAGAAAAGCCUCUAGGAAGAGUAGUACUGCCCGUACCGCAAACCGACACAGGUAGAUGAGGAGAGAAUCCUAAGGUGAGCGAGAGAACUCUCGUUAAGGAACUCGGCAAAAUGACCCCGUAACUUCGGGAGAAGGGGUGCUCUAUUAGGGUGCAAGCCCGAGAGAGCCGCAGUGAAUAGGCCCAGGCGACUGUUUAGCAAAAACACAGGUCUCUGCAAAACCGUAAGGUGACGUAUAGGGGCUGACGCCUGCCCGGUGCUGGAAGGUUAAGAGGAGUGCUUAGCUUCGGCGAAGGUACGAAUUGAAGCCCCAGUAAACGGCGGCCGUAACUAUAACGGUCCUAAGGUAGCGAAAUUCCUUGUCGGGUAAGUUCCGACCCGCACGAAAGGCGCAACGAUCUGGGCACUGUCUCAACGAGAGACUCGGUGAAAUUAUAGUACCUGUGAAGAUGC